UGUGUAGUGGAGAGCCUCGCCUAGUAGAUUUUAACUAGAAACCUUACAAGGCUAGGGAAAGCCCGAGUCUGGCAUGUAUUGAGUCGAUACAAGGAACGUGGUGGUGGUGGUGACGACGGAAAUUUUUUAAGAAUGCUCAGUUUAAAAAAAGCUUGUUUUGCAAACUUAAAUUAUGGUUUCUUUCUACUUUUAGACACAGUCCUAACAGAUCUAAAGGGAGUUAAUGUAGAAGAAAAGGAACCAGCACCAUUUGUGCAUGAAUGCUCCUGCUGUGGCCAUGUCUAAAUUACGCAAGUGUGCCCCUCAAAAUAGCUUACAAUGCAAGAUGAUGGAGGAAGUUCUGGCAGCUUACCAGGUCCCGGGCUCUGCGGAGUUAAAUGAGAAGUGCUUCAAAGUUCUAAUGUGCAUCACAUCGGAUCUUGUUUCUGAAGUGUUAGAAGGAACCCAGCAUUACAUGUUGUGCACCAGUACACUGUUUCUGAUAGAACCCAGGGAUGGCAAAUUUAUAUAUCAGUAUUACCUGUCUGGAGCAGGUUUAAUUUUAUAAAUUAAAACCAUAAACUCUAUGAGUUUCUAGAUGUUAUUUAUGCUUUUGAGGAUGAACUCCUCAGAUGAAGAGACAAGCUCUUCUGCAGGACCAGAAGAUCACAUUGGACUGUAAAUUGUAACUAACUCCAUUUAUAGCAUAUUCCUGUGCAAGGAAUUGAAGGACAGGUUGCAAGAAGAUCCUUCAGUGAAUGGGACUUGUUUUGCUUUGAUCUGCAAAUUUUAAGAAAAGGUUUUUUUAGAAGUAAUCACUUUUACUUAACACUAUAUGUGCAGUCUUUGUACAGCUCUUGACUGGUGACUAUACCCCAGAGACGUUGGAUUCCUGAACAUACUUAGGUUUGGGAUGAACCUUUAAAUUGUCAAAGUUCCAUGAAAAUUAGAAAGGGAAAGUUCCAGGGCCAAUGUUUGACUAGACCCGUCCUGUCAUUUCCUUUUAGUGUCCGAAGGGGUUGGAAAAAGGGCAGGAAGUGGUAAUGAAAUACAAAAUUACAUUGUACUCAUUUUUGAUAAAUGCACUUACCAGAAAAGUGCUUUCUGUCUCAUAAUCAAAGGGAAGGGGUAUACUUGCCCUCUCUAAGCCCUCAAAUGAAAGAUCUGCAUUUAGGGUCAGACAUGUUGAGUUAGUCUGCUAACUAGCUAUAGAAAAGAAGAAACAUGUAUAUGCCCCACUGUAUGUGAAAAGGACAUUUUGUCAUUCCUCUAUUUAUUUUUGCUCUAUCAAAAUUAAAGUGCCAGUUAUUUGGAAUGCUGUGUUCUGUGGUCUCUUGAAAUUUGAUUAGUGAGAACCUUUUGGCAAGAUCAUUCCCAUUAUGGUGUAACUGCAUGGUGACCACAGCAAUGGACCUGUAUAAUAAAGAUCUACAUUCAAAGUUC